CGGAGGUGGCAAGCGUUGUUCGGAAUUACUGGGCGUAAAGGGCGCGUAGGCGGCCUACUAAGUCAGACGUGAAAUCCCCCGGCUUAACCUGGGAACUGCGUCUGAUACUGGAAGGCUUGAGUAUGGGAGAGGGAUGUAGAAUUCCAGGUGUAGCGGUGAAAUGCGUAGAUAUCUGGAGGAAUACCGGUGGCGAAGGCGGCAUCCUGGACCAUUACUGACGCUGAGGCGCGAAAGCUAGGGGAGCAAACGGGAUUAGAUACCCCGGUAGUCCUAGCCCUAAACGAUGAAUACUUGGUGUGGCGGGUAUCGAUCCCUGCCGUGCCGAAGCUAACGCAUUAAGUAUUCCGCCUGGGGAGUACGGUCGCAAGGCUG
rnacentral:rRNA from 1 species